GGAGCAUGUGGCUUAAUUUGACUCAACGCGGGAAAUCUUACCGGGUCCGGACACACUGAGGAUUGACAGGCAAUAUCUCAUGGUUAUUAACCCGGUUAUUACAUUUUGUUUAAUCGGUUUAUUAAGCAUCGAGUGUUAAAUAUGCUAGUCCUUUCAUGAUUAUGUGAUAGGUGGUGCAUGGCCGUUCUUAGUUCGUGGAGUGAUCUGUCUGCUUAAUUGCGUUUCACUAAGGGCCCAUAAAUUCAAGGUAUGUUAGCUAUCGUCGCUCUAUGGACCCCUUAUACUCGAUUUCGCUUUAAUUAGCGUUAUUUGUUUAA
rnacentral:rRNA from 1 species